AAGGUCAAUGGGAAAUCUACUAAUUCCUACUCACAGCAUCCACUUCCCAUUGGAGUGAACAUAUACCAUGGCUGUUGCUGCUCAAGAGGAAAUCAAAGCUUCUGUACCAUUGUAAGAACUGACAUAGCAGAAAAGACCAAUAGUUCUUCUAGUCCAGGAUCCCAAAUCCAAGAUUGGCCAAUUCUGAGUGCUUUCCAAGAAGGUUGUAAACUUCCAUGGAGUAUCUCUCAUUGUGCAAUGCUGUCACGUGAAAAGAGUUGGGAAAAUUAUGAUUUGGUCUGUGGAAAAAAAAAAUAGUUUGCUUAUCUAGUAAAUCAUACCCUGGCAGCCUAAUACACUGAGCUGGUCAUGUGACAUGUUUUGCAAUACUGUCCUCCAAUAGGGCAUCAUCCACUCUGAUGUAAUCUCCAGAUUACACUACUACACCAUUUGGAGCCCAGUACUGGUGCACAGUGUGGAGUCUUAUUUAGAAGGACAUCUUGCUGGCAGCAUGUGGCACUUCUGUGUCACAUUCUGCAGUUGUGGCCCACUGCUCUCUGGAUAGAGCUUAAGGGGUUGUUACAAAUGAGCUGUGAUUAGCUUUCCUCAGGGACUGUCCUUCAUUGGCCCGGGCUGCCACAGCUGUCUUCAGGAAUGCUUGAGCUGGAUUCCUCUGGUUAGAAAGAAGGGAGCGUUGGCCAGGUGGUUUCUGCGAGAGCUCCAGGACUCUGGAACGUGCUCCACCUCAUCAAAACUAAUCUGAAUUUGGUGACCUUCUGGGAAUGCUGCAAAAGAUUAAUAUUUGAGAUAGUUUUAGAGAGUGAUGAAGGGGUGCUUCCCAGACCAGGGACUCUGGCUGGGUGCUUCCUGAAGAGAUCAUAUUGGUGUUGCUGAAAUAUAAUUAUACUAUUAAUGGUGUGCUAGAUUGUCUAAGGCAGUGGUCUCCAAACUUUUUUGAUCGUGCACCCCAUCAGUAAAAAAUUUUUGAGCACGCAUG
rnacentral:lncRNA from 1 species